rnacentral:rRNA from 1 species
UGGGGGAUAUUGCACAAUGGGCGAAAGCCUGAUGCAGCGACGCCGCGUGGGGGAUGAAGGCCUUCGGGUUGUAAACUUCUUUUGUUCUGAACAAGGCAUGCCUUUGGGGUGUGUUGAGUGCAGGGGCUGAUUAGCGCCGGCUAACUACGUGCCAGCAGCCGCGGUAAUACGUAGGGCGCGAGCGUUGUCCGGAAUUAUUUGGUGUAAAGGGCUUGUAGGUGGCUGGUUGCGUCUGUCGUGAAAGCUCAUGGCUUAACUGUGGGUUUGCGGUGGGUACGGGCUGGCUUGAGUGCAGUAAGGGGGGCUGGAAUUCCUGGUGUAGCGGUGGAAUGCGCAGAUAUCAGGAGGAAUACCGGUGGCAAAGGCGGGUCUCUGGACGGUUACUGAGGCUGAGGAGCGAAAGCGUGGGGUGCGAACGGG